rnacentral:rRNA from 1 species
CAGCAGCCCACGGGAAUACGAAGGGUGCAAGCGUUAAUCGGAAUUACUGGGCGUAAAGCGCGCGUAGGUGGUUUGGUAAGAUGGAUGUGAAAUCCCCUGGCUCAACCUGGGAACUGCAUCCAUAACUGCCUGACUAGAGUACGGUAGAGGGUGGUGGAAUUUCCUGUGUAGCGGUGAAAUGCGUAGAUAUAGGAAGGAACACCAGUGGCGAAGGCGACCACCUGGACUGAUACUGACACUGAGGUGCGAAAGCGUGGGGAGCAAACAGGAUUAGAUACCCCUGUAGUCCCUGUCUCUUAUU